rnacentral:lncRNA from 1 species
UGGCGGGAGGCCCAGGCGGCGGCGGCGGCCGGAGAAGGAGACAAUGGGCCGGGCUUACAGGGCCUAUCCCGGGAGGCGCCACCGGCCGACGACUUCUACGACGACGACGACGAGGGCGAGGAGGAGGAAGAGGCGGCGGCGGCUAUUGGGUACCGAGAUGACCUUCUGUUUGGUGAUGAAAUCAUCACCAACGGUUUCCAUUCGUGUGAAAGUGACGAAGAUGAUAGAGCCUCGCAUGCGAGUUCUAGUGACUGGACUCCAAGACCUCGGAUAGGUAUGGUUUCACAGUUUAAGAGCUAUCUUUUCUCUGGUAUUUUCUUUUUAUGUCGAGGAAAACUAUAUUUCUUUCUUCCCUUAUUGUCUUGUGAUGAGGUUCUCAGGUGUUUACUGAGAUUUAAUGUCAGCUUGGUUUUUAGGGGAAGUCCAGUACUUUGUUCUGUUUUUGUUUGUUAAACAGCAUGGGCCCGUGGAAGCUGGCCUGUGUAAUUUCUCAAAAACCAGGUCCUCACACUUAAACGGUCCUUUCCACUUGUACCCUCCAUAUGGAAUGGUCAUCCUCCAAAGUAUCUUGCUUCCUCCUUCAUAUCCUACUAUAAUUUUUCUUCUUAACACUUACCACUUGACAAUUUCUGUGUAUAACUUUUAUUGCUGGUUUCCUGCAUUAGAAUAUAGAGUCCCUUGGGGGCCAGGGAUUUCUGACUGAUUUGUAUACUGUUUAGUCAAUGCCUGGAAAAAUUUGCCCUCAGUAAAUACUAAGUAUUUUGAUGGAAUGGGAAAGUAUUUUGAAGUAGAGAAUACUAUGAGAUUUUUAUAUCGAAGUAGUAACAUGACUAUCUCAAAAUAUUCUUUUUCUUAAUGUGCUCUCAUUUUUCCAGAAAUGCCUUGACUAUUUCAAGAUAGUGAUGAUUAGUUUCUCUUUAGUGUUUAUAUUGACUGUAUUUUUGGUUUUCUUAAGCUAGGAACUGAUUAAGAAAUUUAGGGCAAAGAAUUAUUAAAGCUUAGAACAUUAGCAUUAUAUGCAUCAUUGCAAAGACAGGUUAAGAUUAAAUUGAAGAUUAUUACUGGGAACAUUUUAAAGACAGUAGUUAAGUAUAGAUUUCAUUUUCUUUGUGUUUUUAAUGAUAAAUAGUGUGGGCUUUCAGGAUGGGUAAGAUCUUUAUUGAUUUGCAGAGCCCUUUUGUAUAUCUGUUGUGUUUAAGUUAUAUUUUUUUAGGUUUUAACCAGAGAAAUCUAAUUCUAGUAGUAAAGUCACGUGACUCUUACACAUGUUGUUUAGUCACUAAGUUGCAUCUGAUUCUGCCCCAUGAACUGUAACCAGCCAGGCUCCUCUGUCCCUGGGAUUUCCCAGACUAUAAUGCUGGAUUGAGUUGCCGUUUCCUUUUCCAGGGGAUCUUGUCUACCUAGGGAUUGAACUAUGGCCUCUUUACCACUGAGCCACCAGGGAAUCCCUUUGAAAUACAUACCUGGCAUUUUAUAGCUCAGGGGACAGGAUAUAUAGUAGUGGCUCUGUGUCUCAGCUCCUGAUUUCAUUGGGAUAUAUAACCUUAGCUCUGAAGAUGUUCUGAAUGAAAC